CCCUGUCUCUCUCUUUCUCCAAAAAAUAAACAUAAAAAAAAAAAGGAUUAAUGGUGCUUUUCCACACCGAAGGAUCAGAAAUGGGCAUCUCAGAGCUUCUUGACCCGCGGUUGGGAGGGCUGGCUUGGAUAUGGGAUUCACACCACAGAGGACAGGCGGAUUGCUUCUGGUGACUUCCCCUCUCAGGAGCAUUGGCAGCCUGCAAACAGGGCCAGCGCAGGAACCCUGGUGGCCUGUGAGCAUAUGCUGGCUGGCGGCAGGGACAGGGAGAUUUACGCCAGACCCUAAUAUAAAGGAUCCACUGAGAUAAAACAUCUAGACAGUUCAGAGCAAUAUUGCGACAUGCACUUUUCUUCACGUAUAGAAUUGCAUCCUUUCUGCAAAUGUUUGUUUCUUCGGCCCCCAGAGCUGUAGAAAAGAAAUGUGAUAAGAAAAAAAAAAAAAAAAAAAAAAAAAAAGAGGAGAAAAGGCCUUUUUCCGAGGAGCAUGAGGAAACUCCAAAUUAGCAUAUAUUUGCAAUCUUAGCCCUUCUGGGAUGACUUUCAGGUUACGCUGCGUCAAUCCCACCUGAAGAGGAAAGCCCAGGGUACCCAUCAUCCCCACGGGGAGGCGGUCUUGCGAGGAGGUCCUGGGGGCACAGCAUCACUGCCGCUUCCAGGUCAGCAUGCCGUGUCAAGGUCAUGGUGGCUGUGAGGCUGGGCUGGGGGCCAAGAGCAUCUGCCAGCAAAACACGUUCCUAAGAGAAGAGCUACACCAGGCCACGGGUUGGGGGACCGAGCUGUAGCUGUUGGGACUGGUUGGGGGCACACCGCAGGGCUCCCAAGUUACAGCCCUGCCCUCCCAUGGUUAUUUUCUCCAGAAGGACGUGAUAAGAAUAUGAGACGUGUAUCUUUUUAUGUCCAUUUGCUUUCGCUUCUCCUCCUUCCAAACUCGGCUCCAGAUCCCGUGGCAAACAAGCAGAAAACUGUUAACCCACAAUCCCUUGUGCCUUCAGGAUGGACGGGAUAGAUGAACGUGAUGUUUUUUCAACCUUUGCAGGACGGAGACAACGGCAGACAGCUUCUCAGCAAGAGACACAGCUUGCAAUCCCGCAGAGCCGCGAACGUGAGAUUGGAGACGUGUCUAGACAGCAUAUUUAGACAACCAGAAAGGAAACACAGAUGUCCCCGGCUCCCGAUACCAGUGCUACGUGGCUCUGUGCUCUCUGCUGCAUCUCCCUUCUUCAUCUCCCGGGACGAGAGCCACGACACCCAGCACGCUGGAGGCACUGGAUUUCUCUGCUGAUCAGAGGCAGCUCUCAUCCCUCGCAGGACCUGCCCCGCUCCCGGGAUUUAAAGGCCGUCUCCUCGUCAACCGGGCUGUUCCCGACAUGUGCAAAAAUCUCUCCCUUCUGGACCUCCCUGGCCAAGGACGACUUCCUUCUCUAGCCUCUUGGCAGCCUGUGCCGACCAUGCCACCCUGGGGACAGAGACCCGCAGAGAGGGGCAUGCACUGAGGGUGAGCGGUGACUCCACGGACAUGCUACGUGGGACGGGAAAAGAGCCACGUCCUGCAAAAUUGCACGAGCUACCAGGGCGCUGGCGGCCGAGAUGGAGCCUCAUGGAGGUUGGGUUGCCUUAGAGCUGGUUGGGUUCCCGGAAAGGCCAUGAGCGAGGAAGUCGAUGGCCCCACAGCGGGACGAAUCAGAGUCAGUCGCGCAGAGAGGGCCACAUUAACCUCCUUCCUGGGUAUUUUUACUCAGAGAGAACAAGUUUUCUCCAAGAAGAGCCCUGAGGACAAACCCCAAACCCCACAAAUGGAUACACCCCCAAGCGGCCUCCAGUCUGACAGCCAUCGCCCCCUCGGCCACACGCUGCCUCCCAUCUGUCCCUCCGCAGGCCCCCCCACGACACCUGUAGCAGAACAUCAACCCCCCACAGUCACCAAACCCUGGAUCCUUAACUUUGAGAAGGAACCCGUCCAACUUGGCUGAAACUCUUCCGUGGCUGGGGAGAGAGAACAACGCCAGAAAUAGACGUCUCGAGAACUUUGGGGGAUAAUAAGAAGGAGGGCUACAGAUGGCGAGAUAUUUUUCAAUCCUGUGAUUAAUUCUUAAUGAACUUUUACAUUCCCGCAAACAGAACUGAAUCAGCUGGUAACUCCCUCCCAGAAGAGGGGCAGGACUUCAAAGGAAAGUUGCUUUUGGCUCACAGAACAAAACAGAGCAACAAUUCAAAACAAAUGUUAAUACAAGCAGUUCUAACUCAGACGGAGAUUGAGCUCCAAAUGCUCAUUUUUGGACAUUUGUGAAGCACUGCGACCACUUCCUCUGAAAGCAGACACAUCCAUACAUCAGAGCGGAGUGAGGGGGAAAAAUGGUCUGUGUCUCGUUCUGUCGUGGUGUUUGAAAUGCUCUGGGCGCCGGCCCAGGAGCGAACCCCCCUACACACACAGGGUCUUGUGGGGAGAUCUCUGAGCUUGAGAUCCGGUGGCCAUGACCUCGUUUUCAAGUCGGAGAAAGCACAGCCUGCAGUGGUGUGGAGGGAGGAAGUUUUGGGCUGGCCGACCCCCUCUUGAAAGUUCUUCCCCCUGAAGGGAUUCUGAACUGGGCCGGGACAAAGCAGGAGGUUUUAGAGUGGGUUUUCCUGAUGCCUGCUGAAAAGGUAUUGUGUCCAUUGAAUUCAAUGCUAGUAAGGCAAGGACCGCCUGUGGGGCAGAGCAUUGCAGAGGAUAGGACUGGUCUCGCUCCCCCAUUGUCAUCGCACCUGAAUCCACCUGCCCUCCGGUGUUGGCUUUUGCAUCCUGUUAGAAACUUGGAUCUGCCAUUUCUCUACUCACAUA